GCAAAUGGCCUCCUCCAGGCAGUGACUGAAAUUGCCUGAGGCCAUACUGGACUCAGACUGGGAGUCCCUGAGAGGGAAAGGAACCAUCCUGGGGGGGACUGGGAGCAACUGGGACAACCUUGGGGGCAACUGGGAUCCUAUUGGGAGUGACUGGAAGUGACUGGGAUGAUAGUGGGAGUGGCCAGGGCAGUGCAGGAGGAGGGGCAGGAGGUGCCCCAGGCCUGGAGCUGAGAUUCCCCUGCAGCCCAAGGAGGAGCCCACGGCGGAGCAGGGGAUGCCCACAAAGAAGGAUGUGAGCCCGUGGGCAGCCCGUGCUGGAGCAGAGUCCCUGCAGCUGCUGUGGCCCCAGAGAGCUCCAAGGGUCUCAUCAGCACUGCUGGUUGUGGGGCCACUCAGAGGGGCUUUAGGCACAGGAAUUGUCCUUCCUGGCCCCAAUGGAAGUCUGUGACUUUCUCUGAAAUUUGGAGAACAAAAAUAGGAUUCUACUUGGGUUGUUCUUCAGGUUGUUCAUUAAAAAAGCAGGAGCUCAUUGUCUCAAGGACUUGCGCAGGUCCGAGGGGUUUUCAGUCCCAGCCCCCCAGGUCACCCCCCAAGGUGCUGGACGGCCCUUCAGACCCACCUGAGCCCACCCCCCGUGUGCCCACCCUGUGCAGGGCAGCUCGGGGAGCCCCCGGGACAGGGGAUGGUGCCUCUGGACCUGCCUCCCGAGGGGCUUUUGCCACCCCUGGGGGGCACAGAGGGGACAGGGGCACCCUCAGCUCCUCCUGCCACGAGCUGAGCUGGGACAACAGCCUGAGCUCCCGGGGUCUGGGCAGGUCCUGCUCCCUCCUGGGGCUUUGCCUGGAUGCUCCUGUGCUCCUCAAAUAAAAACACAAAAAGCUCAUAAUCCCCCAAGGGCCCAGCAGUCACAGCUCUCCUCAGCAAAGCAAAACUGGUUCCAUAGGAGUGAUUUGUGGAAUAUUUAUAAGGAAAAAUAGUCAAAACACCAGACCAAGGAUCAACUGACAGAGACGAAAAUACCUGUGGAAGCUGCUGUUGAGUCACUGGCAACUGCAAAGUGUUUCUAUACUUACUAAAACUAUAUAACCCCCCUCCAUCAAUGCCCAGCAGGUGUUGUUGGCAUCACUAGUGUAAAUAAAAUUAUUACCAGGCUGGUA